GUUGACCUGCUGCCACUCCCUCCUCCGGGGAAGCUCACACCCACGGUUCCUCGGCCGUUCCCUCGCCUGAUCGCCCCCCGUCUCCGCUACCGAUGGACGCCGUCGCCUUCUCCCCCGCUCCGAACCCCAACGCCGCGCCAUUCCCCUCCGCCUCCCCGUCCUCGCGCGCCCGACGCUUCUCCAUCCGCGGCCCGCGGCGGCGGCGCCCGCUCCCGGCCCUCCGAUCCAGCGCCUCCCCCUCCGCCUCCCACCACGACGUGGUCGUCGUGGGCGCCGGGAUCGUCGGCCUCUCCAUCGCCCGCCACCUCCUCCUCCACACCCCGCUCUCCGUCGCCGUCGCCGACGCCGCCGUCCCCUGCUCCGGCGCCACCGGCGCAGGGCAGGGGUACGUGUGGAUGUCGCACCGGACGCCCGGGAGCGACACGUGGGACCUGGCGGUGCGGAGCAAGCAGCUGUGGGAGGACCUCGCGGCCGAGAUGGACGGCCUCCGCGCCGGCGGCGCGCGCGAGAGCCUGGGGUGGAUGAAGACAGGAAGCUUAUUAGUUGGAAGAACCUCCAAAGAGCUGGCUACGCUGGAGGAGAAGAUUAAGGUUCUGUCUCAGGCAGGCAUCAAUGCGGAGUGCUUGUCUGCCUCUUCGUUGCAUGCAUUAGAACCCGCACUCUGUGUUGGAAAUGAUGGUGGUGCCAUGUUCUUACCUGAAGACCGUCAAAUCGAUGCGUUCCAGGCUGUGUCUUUGAUUGAAAAGAUCAAUAGGUCAUAUACUCCAAAAGGGAGAUAUAUGGAGCUCUACAAUGAUCCUGCCAUGUCAUUGAUAAGAUCAGAGGUUACUGGAAGGGUUGAAGGUGUCCAAACUUCUAAGAACAUCUUAUAUGGCAGAAAAGCUACUGUAGUUGCUUCUGGCGCUUGGACUCGGUCCUUAUUGCAUAGUUUCCUAGGACCAAAUUCUACACUGGAUAUUCCUGUGAAGCCACGAAAGGGUCAUCUGCUUGUGUUGGAAAAUUUUGACAUGCUAAAGCUGAAUCAUGGCAUAAUGGAGCUGGGAUAUGUUGACCAUCAGGGCGAUAAUUCACAUAGCAUACACUUGUCGUCAACAUCCAAUGAAGAUGAGCAUGACGCCGCAUCCAUAUCAAUGACAGCAACAUUAAAUACAAAAGGGCAUUUAGUUUUAGGAAGCAGCAGGGAGUUUAAAGGAUUUUCAAGGGAGGUUGAUAAAUCCAUACUGAAGAGUAUAUGGGACCGUGCAGGAGAAUUCUUUCCUGCCAUCAAUAAUGUUCAUCUUGAUAUUGACGAGGACAAAGAAAUCAGAAUUGGGCACCGCCCCUACAUGCCUGAUGGGAAGCCAGUUAUUGGAUUUGUUCCGGAUAUGUCAAAUGUUUUGAUUGCAACAGGACAUGAAGGAAGUGGACUUGCUUUGGCGCUAGGUACUGCUGAAAUGGUGACGAAUAUGAUUCUUGGUGACCCUGGAAGAGUGGACUUCACGCCUUUCUCCAUAGAAAAUAGAUUUUCAGACUGACCAGAAGCGAAACAAUGUGGUCGCCGUCGCUGCUCUCGUAGUGCCUCGCCGGCUUACUGUCUCAUGACAAGGCCACAGCUCACUGCGUCGACAUCGUGCCAGAGAGGGAUCAGUCACGCCGGCCGUCGAGAUCGUCCCAUCACAGAAUGUUCAUCCGUACAAGUAUGCGGGCAACAAUAUCGAAAUGCACGGCAUGAAUAUGUUCAAGGUGGUUGAUUACUUUUUCCUAUUCUUGCUAUUUGUUCCAGCUUAUUUUUGUUCAGAUUUAUGGACUUGUGCUUUAAUCAUAGUGGCUAUUUGCCGAAAAAGGCUUUCGCCCCGCUUUAUAUUAUAAAGCAACUGCCCAAGCCAAACAUCCAACAAGGUUCACGCACACACACACAAGUCUCACAAACAGGGGGUAUCCAAGGGUUAGUGCUGAGGGCACAGCUCAACAAGCCCUGAAAACAGAAAAAAACUCGCACACACGGAGCGCAGAAGGAGGAACUAGUCGGGCUUGGGGGGAGGGGGGGGGGGGGGGGGGGGGAGGGGGGGGGGGGGGGGGGUGGAAGCGGGGGCGCCAAGCGGAAGGCCAUCGAUCGAAGGUCGGCGAGGAGAGUGUUGAUGGCAUCCCGGUCCUGGGGGUGGCUAAGCGGCCGCCAAAGCUGCAAGUAACCACACAUUUUAAAGACUGCGUCAGUUGCACGUUGAAGAGGCACCUUCUGGAUGACAAGCUUAUUGCGAACGGUCCAAAGCAUCCAGGCAAGAACCCCCACGCAUAGCCAUCUAAUAUGGCGGUAGCGGGGAGGGGAGGCGUGGAUUUCCGCAAGCAAGUCAGGGAAGUUGGUGUUGCACCACUGGCCACCGACUGUCUCGCAGAAACAGGACCAUAGAAACUGGGCCGUGAAGCAAGAGAAGAAGAUGUGGUUAGCAUCCUCCACCGUGCCGCACAGGGGGCAGAUCCCAUCGCCAGGUCCAUUGCGCUUAAGUACCUCCACCCCAGACGGGAGGCGUCCACGGAUCCACUGCCAUAAGAUCCUGAUUUUCAGUGGCAAGUGGAUAUCCCAAAUCAGGCUAAAGGGCUCGGGGGCCGGCGAGGGGGCGAUGGCCGCGUAGAGGGAUUUAGUGGAAAAGCAGCCCGAGGGCUCCAGUCGCCAAGAUAUGGAGUCAGGGGUGUCGUCAACGUUCAUCGGGAGGAGGGCGAUGUCCUGGAGGAGGGCAUCCCAAGCGGCCAUUUCCGGCGGGCCAAAGGGGCGACGGAAGGCGAGGCGCCCUAAGUCAAUAAGGGCCGUCUCGACAGAAACCUGAGGGUCCACCGCAAUGGCAAAAAGCUCCGGGAAUCGCACGGCCAGGGGGAGGUCGCCGGUCCACCGAUCAAACCAGAACAGGGUCGCGGACCCCGUGCCAACCGAGAUGGACGUGCCGAUGCGGAGCACAGGCAACAGCUGGAUGACGGCCUGCCAAAACUGGGAGCCACCAGAUCGCUGACAGAAUGCGAGUGGCUGGCCCCGAAGGUACUUGUUCUGGAUGAUGGUGAACCAAAGGCCACCAUCGCCAUUGGCGAUGCGCCAGAGCCAACGGGUCAGGAGGGCUAUUUAUGUGGUAGGCAUAUCCAGAGGAGGGCUAUUUAUGUGGUAGGCAUACAAUUGGUACUCGUUUGUGAUUCCUCUGGAUAAGCAUUAUUGUGGGACUAUCUAGAUCAGAUCUUGCAACUCCAAAAGGUGAAGGUAAGAGUAAUAGCCCCACCAGGCAUAUCAUUGUACUUACUACUUGGAAAGGUGAAGGUCCGGAUUUAAUUAUCUUACACUAGGGCCCUUGAAAUGCUGUGAGAGUUCACUCGAGCUAGUAAAUGUUCUGAAGAAUGAGAUCCGUGAUGGACUACUGACGUUCAGAAGCAAAUGGGUUUUAGAGCUGGGCUGCAGAUAUGGGCUUCCUGGGAUAUUUUCUUGCCUGAAGGGAGCUUCAACAGUACAUUUUCAGGAUCCCAGUGCUGGAAUAAUAAGAUGCAGAACAAUCCCCAAUGUACUCGCAAAUCUCGAGCAAACUCGAGACAACCAGAGCCACCAACAAGGAAGCCCUCUUGCUCCAUCAUGGCAACAGUUGUCUCAAGACAUCCAUUUCUAUGCUGGGGAGUGGGAUGAGCUUCACACGGUCCUGUCAGUGAUACAGGAGGACGAGGUGGAUGCAUCGUCCGGCAUAGGGCUAGGGUUCUGUGAAGACGAUUUUUUGGAUGGUUGCAGCAGCCAGGAUGGGAACAAUAUCUGCCACGAAACCUCGUCAAGGCGAUCAACAAAACUGUCAGGCAGCCAUGCAUGGGAGAGGGGAAACGAGGCCUGUGCAGGAGAUGAGGGUUGAUAUGACAUAGUGUUGGUGAAUGAGAUCCCUUACUCCGCAAGUUCUCUUCAAAACCUUUAUUCACUCAUCAAAAAGUGCCUGCGGCCACCCUAUGGAGUGAUGUAUCUCACGGCGAAAAAGAACUACAUCGGCUCCAGCAGUGCGGUGCGGCAGCUCAGAGCAUUGGUCGAUGAGGAGGGCGCUUUUGGUGUGCACCUUGUUGCCGAGCCCCCCGAGAGGGAGAUCUGGAAGUUCUUCUCUAAAUAAACACAGCUCAUCACGGCUCGAAAAAAAAAACCCGACCAAGGCCGCUUGAGCCCUCAGGCCUGUAUAUAACUUAGACGAGUAGUCCGGCCAAUGUCUGGCAUUGUUUGCCAUUUUUUGAAUGUAGUGUUGAUCAUGUCAAACUAGA